AGGACGAACGCUGGCGGCGUGCCUAAUACAUGCAAGUCGAGCGGACAGAAGGGAGCUUGCUCCCGGAUGUUAGCGGCGGACGGGUGAGUAACACGUGGGUAACCUGCCUGUAAGACUGGGAUAACUCCGGGAAACCGGAGCUAAUACCGGAUAGUUCCUUGAACCGCAUGGUUCAAGGAUGAAAGACGGUUUCGGCUGUCACUUACAGAUGGACCCGCGGCGCAUUAGCUAGUUGGUGGGGUAAUGGCUCACCAAGGCGACGAUGCGUAGCCGACCUGAGAGGGUGAUCGGCCACACUGGGACUGAGACACGGCCCAGACUCCUACGGGAGGCAGCAGUAGGGAAUCUUCCGCAAUGGACGAAAGUCUGACGGAGCAACGCCGCGUGAGUGAUGAAGGUUUUCGGAUCGUAAAGCUCUGUUGUUAGGGAAGAACAAGUGCGAGAGUAACUGCUCGCACCUUGACGGUACCUAACCAGAAAGCCACGGCUAACUACGUGCCAGCAGCCGCGGUAAUACGUAGGUGGCAAGCGUUGUCCGGAAUUAUUGGGCGUAAAGGGCUCGCAGGCGGUUUCUUAAGUCUGAUGUGAAAGCCCCCGGCUCAACCGGGGAGGGUCAUUGGAAACUGGGAAACUUGAGGCAGAAGAUGAGA
rnacentral:rRNA from 1 species